UCACUGCCGUCACCAUGGCGACCGUAAUGAUUCCCAGGGCGGGAAGGAAGAGAAUUAGGGCCAGGCUUUAAUAAUACUAAUAAUAAUAAUAAUAAUGGCGUUUUAUGAUAAACCAAUGUCCUCAGACUUCUUACUCUCCUCAGACAGGAGCGUCAUUUCAGCGGAAGAGAUAAGAAAUGAGCUAACUGCCCAUUAGCGAGUCGCGCGCCCAGAGGAGCUGCAGUCGCAAUAGGAACAGACAGGCUGUCCAGAAGAAAGAGUAAACAAACCUGCGACAGCCUGCGCCUUCACCAAGAGGACAGAAGACAAGAGGUGCCCUUCAUCCUGCUCCUCCACCCUGCAGCGCUCCCUAUAACCACACAGGGAUGUAUGAAUGAACUCCUGCGCCUGAUGCCAGCUCUGACUUCCUCGUCAAGCCGCCGGUUCAGCACACACAUCAGCACCCCGCUGCACCAUUGUGGCCCGAAUCCUCGUCGCCGCAUUGGGCAUUCCUUCCACGUUUGUGCCGGCACAAUGGCAGCCCAGCAUGUUUUCUCCCCAAUUCAUCCGAGGUCUUCCUUUCCCAGUCCUGCACAUUUUUUCUUUUGAUGCCAGCUAUCAUCUCCAGCUAUUUGUGGGAGGACUCUGCAGAAUCCUAUAGUCAGCAUAUAGCGGGCAUAAUGUCGCCCAUCUGUUGUCACACCUCAGGUUUCUAGGUGUAGAACGCGGGCCGCUGACGGACGUUCUCGUUCUCCGGGAUUCGCCACGGCUCAGAAAUAUUACCUGCUGUCUUCAUCUUUUGGAAAGGACGGGGCCUCGUCAGUCCAGAGGCCGGGUCUGAAUGGAGCUUGGGCUUUUCUUUGUCUAAGAUAGAGUUGCUGCCAUGCAUGCAGUUCAAUUGCAGGCUUGGAGAGGGACUCUGUGGGAAUUAGCAGCAGGAACAACACUCCAGGCCCUCAGAUAAUGGACUUGGUGAAUGUCCACCAUCUGGUGUUUGUUUAAUACACAGAGAAGGUCAAAUGGCCUGCAAUCCUUUUCUGCUCUCCUGCAUUCAGGCCUCGGAUUGGGGAAAAUCAUUGAUUUUACUCCUCCACCCGAAGAUCUUUGUGUGCCGGAGCUCAGUAUGACAAUGACAACAAGCUUAUUGCUUAAAACAGCACUCAGUGGGACUGAAACAACCUGAAUUCAGUCUGGGAAGUUGUUGCCCGGUGGUGUCCUUUUGGUUUUAUUAAAGCCCUCUCUUGAACAAA